AUCUCAUCUUGCUUUCUGCUAUAUGUUAUCUGCAUUCUCUGUUGAUAUUUGUGGGUAAGGUAUAUUUUCCAUCUUACACUUACAGGAUUUUCCAUCAGAAGUUAGACAACAGGGUGCAGACUAAUGACCGGGAGGCCCUUACUGGGUUAUCAUAGUAGGCAAACAAGGAGAAAAAAAUGAAAGCAAAAGAUAAGGCUAUGCAGUUUGAAUUUCUUUGACAUACAUGACUUAGGUAUUUACGAGAAUAUUUUGUAGUACAGUACACUAAUUGUAUUGUUUCAUAACCUCUCAAAGAAAGGCAACUGUAACAUGGGACACUGCAAAUAGCUUGCUAUUCAUUUAUUUAUUUUUUCGGAAAAAAUGGGUUGAAUGUAAUGAAGAAAGAUCAAAGUUUUAUUUUAUUUUUUUUUAAAGCAUGAGUACAUGUUUAAUUUAUCAGAUAUAGAUUAAAUAUUGAUUUCAUUUAUUAUAUAUUGCAAUAAAAGUACUAAAUCAAAUACAAGUACUCUGAAGCAAUAUGAAUUUCAAAGGAAAGUGCUUGCUUUACCUCUGAAGAAUAUCUGAAGUUGGAAGUUUGUUUACAUUUUUAUUUGAUUCAUCUGCACAGUUUUGCUGCUGUGAGUGUGCAGAAUCCAGUAAUGUCCACCAGAUCAUGUGCAGAAGUCAGCAGUCAAUAUGUUUUUGCAGGGUGAGAACCUUCUUGUUAUCAUUUUUAUCUCAAUUUAAUCAAAUCUGGUGUUUUUUAACAGCAUUUACAGACAGUAGGAGAGAGAAAUAAUGCAAUUGUGUAAAACAUCACUUAACUUUGCAGAAGUUUGUAGCUGAUUUCUCUGUGGCUGCGUGAUAUUCCAUUCCAGAGGAUGACUUAAAGCAGAGUUUUGGUUUUAAUCAUGUACUCCCUCUUUGAUUGCGUGAAGACACAACUCUUCCCCUGGUUUGAAUUGUGAUUAGUAGCUACUGAGCAGUUAGCAGAGGUGCACAUUAGAAAAUAGAAAGUUGUGGGGGGACAGUAUCUGAAAUGCACUGAUCUAAGAGUGAAAUAAUUGAUGCUUUUAUGGCUCAUUGCUUCUUUAACAUCAACUAAAGAUAGAAAGCAAUUACAAUAUUUUACAGAAAAGAUCAUGGCAUUAGUACUCAUGCUAAUAUUUACCCUCCGAGUAACUCUUCCUUUUUGUUCCACCUUUUCUGAGAUGGAGGAAAGGACUGCGUGCAGUUUGCUGCGCAGGCGCUGUGGAGAGGCAGCAGGAUGCAGAACAGAGACGAAGUAAAGAAUAAAGGCAGAUUUUCAUGACUGAGGAGCCCUUGAAGUCAGUGGCAGCUGAAGCACAGGUACCUCAUGAGUUGGAUUUGUUUUUGUUGAGUGCACCACUUCAGAGGAUGUCAUUCACAUGAGCAGGUAUCAUUGCAAACCUUGUCCAUUUUCAGCAUCCAUGUGGUCAUCUCUUGUGGAGCUCUGCAAUUCUACUCCAUAGACAAAAUGAAUAAUUGGACAUGUAAUUCCAGGCUUCACUGUCUGGAAGAACAGAGCUUGUUUCCUAAGCAGUAUGCUGCAGAAGAACAUCAAACCAUUACUGAUUCUUCAAUAUCACUGGCUGUAUGAUGUGCUCAGCACAUUUCUCAAGAGGAUAAUGAAUGAUUCAGCUCAGCUGGAUCCAGUUUACUGCUCUCCAAGGGGACCAAGGACAGCACCCUGCCCACUUGGACACCUAGACUUUCUGGCUUGGCUGCACAUCAGCACUUCUAAUUGAAAGAGCUGCGGGUGCUUUUACUACUGUUUUGUUAUUGUAAGAAAGGAAGGUUGUGAGAUUGCUGUAGGUAUUGAAUGAGAUGUAAUUUUCCAAUAUUGCUUUUUCUAGACUGUUUUCUUAACCUAACCCAGGGUCUCUAUCACUCCCUGUGAUGCUAAGCUACAUGCAUACUGCUGAAUGACUGUCCCCUGUGCUUCUUCUUCAGGGAGGCCCAGUUUGCUUCUGUUCCUCAGCCCAGAGGUGAUUAGGAAAGCUUUCUUACACCAUAUGUCUUUGCCAUUGCCCUGUGCAGUGUCCUGUUAGUGCAGGCAUGAGAAAACGUAAGACUAUAACAGCAAUUACUUUAAUUUAUGUGUGAACACAUUAAUGGGAGUAUGAGUUCAGGCUUAGUCAUGGUAAGUUGUUAAACCUUCUAAACAACAACAAGAUCAAGCACUGAACAGUGCUGAGGCUGUACCAUUUCCUCCCCUGCAAUGAAAUCCUCCAUUUCUAUUACUAUUUUGCAUCUGUUUAUUGAUGUCAAGUAUGAUACAGACCCAGGCUGACGGCAGGGAAGAGAGCAGCAGUCACAUGGACAUAAUCUCGUCAUGUAAUGUGAGCACAUCCACUCCUGAGACAGUGGUGGCCUCUUACCUCCCACAUCUGGAGGAAUCUCCUGAAAAUCUGUAGUUUUAGAAUUGUCAUGAGACCUUUGGGGUGACUUAUAUAGCUGACUUGGCUUUUACGGUACCCUUUUAAUUGCAUGGAGAAAGAAAGACUGUGGUGUGGAGCAGGUGGGGGCCUCUCCAUCACUGCUCUGCCUGGGGUUCCACAUGCUCUGAGCACCUGCCUAACAUUUGGUUAGCAAUUUUAGGAAAAGGACUAUUCACUGCAUAUUUCUAGAAAUCAAGACGGUGUAAACAUUUUCCCUAGAUGAAUGAAAACCAGAUGUCAAGUCAUUGUCCAUUUUUUCUUCUGGAUUUCUGUGUAGUUACAGCUGGUACCAGCUGGCAACUGGGGACAGGUGGGCAAACAGGCAGAAGACAACUGCCUGAGUGCCUGGGAUUGCUCCACCUGCCAGUGCCUGAUGCAGCCAGCAGCUGCCGGACACUUGAUAACUCUGUCCCAUGUUUAGGAACAAAGCAAUGGCUGUAUCUUGUCUGUUUUGAAACACAAAGCUUGAAAUCCUGGGCUAAGAGAAUAAACGGCACAACUGUUGACAACUGUUGCUCUUUCCAUGACUUUAAUCUCAGAUGGGAAAUGUGUCUCAGAGGACAUAAAUAAAGGGGCUCCUAAGGUAGAAUAGAGUUGUUGAAAACUUCCUAUUUUAAUAAAGCUUUGAUGUCACUGAAGGUUUGUGUGAAAGAAUAGCUUAUGGAAAAGUUUUGAAAAUGUUAAUGCUCUCAAUACAGUCAUUUUUGGAAUAAAACAUUUCAAUUUUUGACUUUGAAAUGAUAGGUUGAGUCAACUUAAAUACAUCCCAUAAAAAUUCAUUAGUCAAAAUAAAAUUAAAGGAAAAUAUUUCCAUUAAUCAGAAAUUUGCAUUUGCCUCUAAAAUUUUCCUGUGGGAAAAUUUAAGUCUUUGGAUAUAGUUUUAGCUUGGAAAUUUCAAAAUCUUCAUGAAAAAAGUCUUCUCCCAAGCAUCUGUACCAGAAAGCUGCACAUUUUCAGAAAUAUUUACAAAGGCAGCAUGAAAUGAGGAAGUUCAGCACAGUCAAAAAGCCAGAAUGGAUUUACUGUGGGCCCUUUGGUGUCAGAUAAAUCACUCCACCAUGUAGCACUCCUACAAAGCCUGACUGGCUGGCAAAUUUCUUGUUCUACAAUGUUAAUAAAUGGAAAUGAUGACUGUUUAAAUGGAUAAUGCUUAUAUUUUUAAAAUUGAAUUACAUGGCAUGAGCUGAUCAAAAGCGUUUAUCUACAAUUUCCUUCUACGCAUUUAAUUAGUAUUAUUUUUUUAUUACUGUAAAUUCUGUACUGGGCAUGGAUCCUAACAGUAAUUGGCUUUUAUAGGAAACAAAAUCAGAGGAUACGUGAGCAAUACAGACUGUGCCAUCAUUAUGUACCAGGUAGCAAGGGGAAGGAUUUACAUAUACCAUACAUUCACUCAAAAUUCACUUAUUUGCUGCUUUAAUUAUUAUUAUUUUAGGAAAAAUUUCUUCUCUGAAAGUGUGGUCAGAUGCUGGAAUGGGCAGCCCAGGGAGGUGGUGGAGUUACCAUCCCUGGAGCUGCAGAUGUUGUACUAAGGGGCAUACUUUAGUGGGGAAAUAGUGGUGGUAGGUGGAUAGUUGGACUGGAUGAUCUUGGAGGUCUUCUCCAACCUUGGUGAUUCUAUGAUUUAUUCAUUCAUUUAUUUAUUGUAAGACAUUCACGCAUUUCAAAUGUUUUCUUAGUCAGUUUAUAUAGCAUCAGGCAAACACUCCAGUAAUGAUUUUAGUAUCAAGUCAGCUCCAAAGGAUUGUAUUUAGUAUUGCAUAUAAUCAGUCUUUAAGUACACUGCAAAUACAGGAAGUGUCCGUAUUGACUUGUGUGAUUGUAAUCUCUAUAGCUCUGUGGUUUCACUAGCAUCAUGAUUCCUUUGAAUGUAUUUAUGAUGCUGUUCUCUGUGUGUCAUGAGUAUUUGUGUUAGUGUAACACAAUAAAUUGCUAGCAAGAAUCUUCACGGCUGUGGGUCUUAACUUGCUACAAAUACUGAGCAGGUAUUUGUUGUUUCAGAGAAUGAAUUCCAUAAACACCCUCAUGAGUAAACUUUUU